UACGUAGGUGGCAAGCGUUGUCCGGAUUUAUUGGGUUUAAAGGGCUCGUAGGCGGCCAACUAAGUCAGACGUGAAAUCCCUCGGCUUAACCGGGGAACUGCGUCUGAUACUGGAUGGCUAGAGGUUGGGAGAGGGAUGCGGAAUUCCAGGUGUAGCGGUGAAAUGCGUAGAUAUCUGGAGGAACACCGGUGGCGAAGGCGGCAUCCUGGACCAAUUCUGACGCUGAGGAGCGAAAGCCAGGGGAGCAAACGGG
rnacentral:rRNA from 1 species